GUGCAGUUUGCGUCUGAGAUCAAGAAUGUCCGUGUGGUGAAGGAAAAAUACUGAGGAAGCUCUCAGUAGAAAUGUGCAUUAUGUGCAAAGUCCUUUAAGGAACCAUUACAAUUCACACCGGAAUCAACCCUAUUUUGUCUCAACAAUAGAAAGAGACCAGUCUCUGUGCAACUGGAUCAGCCUACAUUUAAAAAUAUACCUCCAAAUCUAUACGGCUAU